rnacentral:lncRNA from 1 species
ACUGUCACCCAGUGUCCCCUGCAGAGGCACGUAGGCUGCGAGGAUUUCCUGGGAUGCUGUGCUUACCUCUGUGUCCAUCCGUUUUUUUGAACUGGGUAGAGCAGGAGGGGUGCAGCCAGACGGGGUAGAGUGUACACUACCCACCCGGGGUACAGCAGGACACGGGCGGGGGUGGGGCGCGCAGGAAGCAGACACCCUCCGCGCCCCAAGAGCAGAUGGAGAAGCUCCUGCGUGUCAGGCCCACGCCUCUUCCUCUGCGUCAGGGGCUGGGAGAACCGUGGGCUUUUCCAGCUUUUGCCUGUGGCCCCGAGGAAGUGCACAAGGGGACAAAACCAGCAGUGGAGGGUGGGGAGGCCUUCGACUGAGAAGACGUCUUUGUUCCAGCCCCGGACUGGAGCCCAGCUUUCAUUCUCUAUUGACUGACAUCUCUGUUCACAACGUUUCAUGCCUGCUUCCUGGGGGGGCUGUGUGGCACCUUGUGCACAGCAGGCUGAAUAACUUAGACCCCGGUGGUACCGCCCAGGCAGGAACGGAGCAUCCCGUCCUCCCUCCCAGCAGCCUGCAUCCUGACGGGGGGACGUUGGCAUCCUUAGUCCUGGACUAAAGGCUGCUUUGGUCCCACUGAAGUCAAGACUUGAAACGAUCAAACUGUUCCCGGCAACGUGGCCGUGUCCUAGAAUAAAGCCCAAGGAUAUUUAUAGAAAUCUAGAAGCAUCCAUCAUGGACAAGAUCAUGAUGUCUGUUGUUCAAAAAAAUUAUCUUAAUGGAAAGAACAGGCAAAGAGACACAGACCCCAAAUAGAGCCACAAAGCACACCAAUGAUGGAACUAGUAGAUAAGAACCUUAGACCAGUUGCCAUAAUUGUGUCCCCUAUGAGCCGCUUAGAGAUGAAAGCUCAGGGCUGUAAAAUGACUCACAUCAAACUUCUGGGGAUGCAAAAACCACAAUGACAGAGGAGGAAAACAUCCUUAAUCAGAUUCGGAGCUGACAGGACACAGCAGAGGAAAAGACACUUGAAUAAACAGCAAAGGGAUGUGAAAACACAGGCAAAGAAAUUCUCCAAAAUGAAAGAGAGAGAAAAAAGAUGGACAAAAAAAUGAACAAAGCACCAUCAAUUUCAAGCAGCCUCACUUCUGUAUGAGUGCAGGUUCCAAAGAGGGCAAGAGUGGAGGAACAGAAAAAUUAUUUGAAAAAAAUCACAGGCGAAAAGUUCCCAUGUUUGAUGAUGACUAUAAAAUAUUAAUCCAGGAGUUCUCUGGUGGCUCAGCGGGUUACGGGUCCAGGGUUGUCACUACUGUGCCUCUGGUGACUGCUGUGGUGUGGGUUCAAUCCCUGGCUCGGAAGCUUCCACAUGCCAUGGAAGUUAAAAAAAAAAAUCACGAAUCCAAACAGCGCAAGCAAGCCAGCCAGAAGAAAGCAUGAAGAAAACAACAUCGGAGCACAUGGUUCCCAAUGAUGGGCCUUUAGAGAUGGUCCUUUUCUCUCCUGGGAUACAGGAAAUUUUCACCUGGAAACCUUCAGCUCAGCAUCUCAAGGGACCCUGACAUCUCAGCUUCAGUCUCCCCUUACAGCACGUAUAUUCCACAGUUAUUCUCCAUCAAGUUUCACUUCUCUCCUCUGAAAGCCUCUUUGCAUAGUAGGGCCAGUUUUGACCGAAGAGGGUCUUUCUUUCUCUCUGAUACAUGAAAAGCAGAAGGAAGUCCCACAAAAUUGAGGGAGGCAGGACUUGAGCCCAGGACAUGACACCGCAGUAGGUGAAUUCUCAGCACAUGACGCUGUCACCCCUUCAGCUGGGACGGGGGAAGCCCAGGGAAUUGACUUUGCUGCAUCUUCUAAGGCAUAAAAAUGGAAAGCCUCAUUGACGAUACAUUUCAUUGUCACUCCCACACUUUAUCUCCCCCCGGACACAAACCCCGGGCAAUAUCGUGUGAGACGCCCGUGCAGGGCGCAGAGAUAAGGGUGGGACCAAGGACCGAGGGGCCACGGGGGCCCUUCUGAGAGUUUUAUAAGUACAUAAAGAUGCUUUAAAAAUAAAAAGGCAGGGAUGGGGCUGGCUCUUCCUGGAAUUAUUCCCAGGACACACUGUAUAAUAGAACCAAUGUGUUUGUGAGUUAAGUGAAACGCCAUGAAAUUCUUGGAUAAAAAUGGAGCAUGUAUUUUGGUCUAAAAGAAGGGAAAAUACCCUUUCCAUGAUGCCAUAAAGGGAUAAAGCUUUGGCAUAACUAAUGAAAAGAAACUGUAUAGCCCUACGGAACAUAUGGAAAAAUAAGUGCUAUUAGUAAACCUAGAAAAACACUGUCGGUGAAAGAAAUUUUCAUAUACUUAUGAUUUUCAAAUGCAGGAACGAAUGACUUGGUUAUGAGGUGCAGGUAAUUUGGUAACGGUAGAAUGUGCUAGCUUAUUUUGCAUCAAUUAGAGGUUAGGGGUUAUAAAAAGACAUUAUUAUAAACAAAUUAUGCUACUUUAAAAAAAAACUCAGUUAUUUAAUUCAUCACUUACCUACAGUUUAGGAACCAUUUUCAUUGUACUUAUGUGCUCUUGGACACAGAGAGUAGAUAUGUUUUUGAUUUAUGAAUUAUCUCAGAGUAUUUGAUUCGUCAAUUCUGCUUGGCUAUCCCCAACAUAGACAAGUGCACCGAAUGAUCUUUGCAUUUUGACCCAUAUUCUGUUAUUAGGCCUGUCAUCUGCUGUAAGGAGUGUGGAUUUAUUUGUUUACUUUUAUUUUUUAGUUUUCGGCCAUGCCCAUGGAUGGUAUGCAGAAGUUUCUGGGCCAGGGAUGGAACUCAGCCACAGCAGUGACAAUGUCAGAUCCUUAACCUGGUGAGCCACGAGGGAACUCCCUGUGAGAACUAACUGCCUCCCUCCCUCCCUUCUUUCCUUCUUUCCUUGCUCCCUCCUUCCCUUCCUCCCUCUCUCCCCUUCUUCCUUCUCCCCCCCCCAACAAAUCUUCCCUCCCCUGGAGUAAAAUAAUGUAAAACACUUAGAUAACUUUAAAAACACAAAAACAAUGUAUUUUGGAAGCGUGCAUAUGAAGGCCAGCUUUCCUGAUGCUAAGGAAUUCUUGGGGCUACAAAAGAAAAUCCCAAGAGUGAACUGGGGCUCCUUAAACAGCAGAUUCAAUCGAGAACAUAGACCAAUAGUGGUGACUGCACAAAAGACAGAUCACUUAUUGCUUAUAACCGACAAAACUAUAACAGAUGAAGCAUAUUAAUAAGACCCUAGUAAAAUCAUACAGAAAAACCAUGAAAGAGAUUUUCAAGUCCUUGGAACUUGCUAAUUGGCUAAUCCCCGAGCGUUUAGGGCUAUUUUUCCCAGUUACGGGGAUGGGGACACUGGGGGAGUCUGGGGCUCAAGCCCAUGAAAUGAGCAAAGAAAAGGGCAAAGCUUGUAACCCCAGCUCUGCCCUCAGACCCCAGAGCCAGCCUUUCCAGUUGAUGGGAAGCAAAAGGGGACGCCUCCACCCCUGAGCGGCAGUUUAGCUGGCGUGUGUGUUUGCAAGAGACAGGAUGCAUUUCUGCCGCUCCUCCCUCUCCCACACAAAGCCCAGGGCUGCUCACAAAACACGACUGUUGAAAGAACGAUCGGAAAGGACAAACAGAAAAACAAAUAGGCUUUGGAGAGAAGAUCCCUGUGUGUUGCGUAAAUGCCAUCACCAAAGGCUGGGCCACAGUGUCCCAAAGAGGGGACCCGAUCGCAUAGGCAAAAUCGGAAAAACCAGGAAAUGAGUUCUUUGAUGGAUCAGCACCAUUCAAAGUUCACUUUUGAUGCUGAGCCAGGAGUCGCUGGUGACGACGGAGUGACAGGGUGCCGGGAAGAGCUACCCGACAGGACCCUCUUUGCUCUGUGUUUAUGGACGAGGCAGCAAUUCUCAUCAAAG